GACGGGUUUUAAAAGUCUUGACUAUGCCUAAUUGAUAAUUUACAGUUGAUUGAUUUAUAUACUAUCUUUAAUUGAGAGACGUGGCUGAUUACUUUAAAUAUGGUUUAUGGUAAGUAAUUACUUUUGAUUGAGUCGUGUCAAUUUUUUUCUAAAAAUUAAGUACUAUUAAUUAUUGUUUUCCUUGAUUAUGUGAUCACUAUAUGGUAGUUCUUCUUUUCUUUGGUAAGUAAAUAAUUUGUAUGACUGAUUUGCUUAACCGAUCUUUCCUUUAUUGGAUUUGACUAAAUUUUGUGUGAUUUUAUAUUUCCCUUAAUUAGCAUAUAAUCUGAAAAGGAAAUUUGGUUGACAGACAUCCCCUCACACGUUAAUUAUGGUAAAUUUUGAUACCUCUUCUUGAUUUCAUUUAACAAGUAGGAAGGAUCUCUUUUUACUUGUUCUAUUCAUGGAAAUUUCAAAUGUUAUAAUUUGACAUACCCUUGUUUAUUUAUUUAUGGAAACUAUAGUAUGAUUGGUGGAACGGAUUGAUUUACCCCAUCCAUUUAAGGGAACAAUCCCCUUAAUUGAUUCAUUAUAUGUUAUUCUUCCUUCAUUAAAUAUUAUUCUUCCUUCAUUAUUUGGGAUCAUGGACGGCCCUCCUCACUAUAUAAACUCACCAUUCUCUUUUUCUAAGUGGACAGACUUUUCCUUCGCUAUUACUCCCUCUAUUUUCUGUUAAAAGUACUUUGAAGUUCUUUGGCACUUUGGAUUUCGAAAAACAUUCGGUCUUCUCCUUGCUGCAAUUGCUUUGGGUUCUAUUAUUAUUGUUUAGUGCCUAAUCAGUUAGUCUCUAUCGACACAUUCUUUUCUUAUUCUGUAGCAUUUGUGAUAGCAAAGCAUUGAAAGCAUGUCUAUAGGAACUAAUUUAAAAUAAUUAUGUUGUGCUUACUUGUUAUGCCUGUGUUUCUUUGUUCCUCUAUAUAAGACAAUCUGUUGGUAUAUUCAAGUAUUCCUUCUAUGCUUGUACCACUCUUUUGCACGUAUGUGACAGGUAUUAAGUGGUAUUGGAAAAGUCUCCGGGGACUUGGGAGUGGUUUCUAAUUUCUUUCUUAGUUUAGUUUCAUAGCUUCAUUUUAUUUAUUCCUUGGUGUGUAUUGUAAUACAAACCUCACUGAUGUAAUGGUAAUUAUUGGGAUGGGGAUUUGUGCUCUAUGAAUCGCGUAGGCAAACACAACCUUAGUUUGUCCAUUCUUAAUUAUCCUACGCAUCAAAACUUGUCCCAUUUCCCCUCACACGAAGAUUCUCGUCCUUACACUGUGAAUAAAGCAAGUGAUGAGCCGUUUUCAUCACUUACAACUUUAUUUUCUGCUAAUCUUAUUCUUUCUCUGAACAGCAAAAGGUUUCACUUCCUGAGGUUACUCAAUAGCCUAAAGAAAGGAUUUUUAUUCUAUUUUUUGUGUGAGAUCUUAUUGGGAAGACAAAGUGUGUGAAUCACAUUCAGCAGAGUGGGAGAAAAGGUGAAGAAAUUUAAGAGAGGAUUUUGAAGGAUGAAUGUUAGCUCAGCUA